UAGGGAAUAUUAGAAAUGGACGAAAGUCUGAUCUAGCAACACCGCGUGUGCGAAGAAGGCCUUCGGGUUGUAAAGCACUUUUUGGAAGGAUUAGGAAGGAAUGUACUUCCAGAAUAAGUCUCGGCUAACUACGUGCCAGCAGCCGCGGUAACACGUAGGAGGCAAACGUUAUCCGGAUUUACUGGGCGUAAAGCGCGUGUAGGUGGUUCUGUAAGUAGGGCGUGAAAGCUCCUGGCUCAACUGGGAGAGGCCGUUCUAAACUGCAGAGCUAGAGGAUGGUAGAGGGAGGUGGAAUUCCGGGUGUAGCGGUGGAAUGCGCAGAUAUCCGGAGGAACACCAGGGGCGAAAGCGGCCUCCUGGACCAUUCCUGACACUCAUGCGCGAAAGCUAGGGUAGCAAGGG
rnacentral:rRNA from 1 species